rnacentral:rRNA from 1 species
AUGACCAACAACAACGGCAAUGGGAAUGGCGGCAGCAACGCGGCGGCGAGUGGCUGGCUGGGCUUCUCGCUCUCGCCGCACAUGGACGAACACAACCACGUGCAGCAGCAGCAGCAACAACACCAGGGCCUAUUCUACCCCAGCUCCGUCGCCGCCGCCUACAGCCUCGGCAGCGACGUCGCCACCGGCGGGUACUAUUCGCAGCUAGCCUCCAUGCCUCUCAAGUCAGACGGCUCCCUCUGCAUCAUGGAAGCUCUACGCCGAACCGAUCAACAAGAUCACCACGGUCCGAAGCUGGAGGACUUUCUGGGCGCGGGGCAACCGGCGAUGGCGCUGAGCCUGGACAACACCUCCAACUUCUAUUACUACAGCGGCGGUGGCGGAGCAGGUGGGCAACACGGACAGAGCCACGGCGGCGGCUUCCUGCAGCAAGCAUACGACGUGUACGGCGGGCCCGCAACGGCAUCGGUGCUGGCGGCCGAUGAGGACGCCGCGGCAGCCACGGCCAUGGCGAACUGGGUGCAGGUCGCGCGCGGUGCCACCGCGUACGCCACAGCCGAGAACGUCUUGUCCGCGGCGGCGGACCGGCAGCAGCAUCUUCACCACCACCCUCUGGCACUCUCCAUGAGCUCCGCCGGGUCGCUCUCCAGCUGCGUUACCGCGGGGGCCGAGUACGGCGGCGUCGUGGCGACGGUGGACGGCGGGCGAAAACGCGGUGGCGCGACGGCGGGGCAGAAGCAGCCGGUGCACCACCGCAAGUCCAUCGACACGUUCGGGCAGCGCACGUCGCAGCACCGUGGCGUCACCAGGCAUAGGUGGACGGGGCGGUAUGAGGCGCACCUGUGGGACAACAGCUGCAAGAAGGAAGGCCAGACCAGGAAAGGGAGGCAAGUUUACCUCGGAGGGUAUGACAUGGAGGAGAAGGCGGCGAGAGCCUACGACCAGGCGGCGCUCAAGUACUGGGGGCCUUCCACCCAUAUCAACUUCCCGCUCGAGGACUACCAGCAGGAGCUGGAGGAGAUGAAGAACAUGACGAGGCAGGAGUACGUGGCACACCUUAGAAGGAAGAGCAGCGGCUUCUCGCGUGGCGCGUCCAUGUACCGUGGCGUGACCCGGCACCACCAGCACGGGCGGUGGCAGGCGCGCAUCGGCCGCGUCUCCGGCAACAAGGACCUCUAUCUCGGCACUUUCGGCACCCAGGAGGAGGCCGCGGAGGCGUACGACAUCGCCGCCAUCAAGUUCCGGGGACUCAACGCCGUCACCAACUUCGACAUCACCCGCUACGACGUCGACAAGAUCAUGGCCAGCAACACGCUCCUCCCGGGCGAGCUCGCCAGGCGCAACAAGGACGCCAACGCCGCGCCCCUGCCCCUCCCCGCCCCCGACGACUGCGCCGCCUCUGCCCUGGUGCCCGUGUCUACUCCGGGGACGGACACCGGCGGCAGCGGCCAGCACCGAAACCAGGACGUCAUGUCCUCGGGCGAGGCCUUCUCGGCGCUGCACGACCUGGUCACCGUGGACGGCCACACCGCGCAGGGCGGCAACGGCGCGCGCGUGCACAUGUCGAUGUCGGGCGCAUCGUCGCUGGUGACGAGCCUGAGCAACUCCCGCGAGGAGAGCCCAGACCGGGGCGGUGGCCUGUCUAUGCUCUUCGCCAAGCCGCCGCAGCAGCCGGCCACGACAACGGCGGCGUCCCCGAAGCUGAUGAGCACUCUGGCGCCGCUGGGUUCCUGGGCGUCGUCGGCGAGGCCGGCCGCCGUUUCCAUCGCUCACAUGCCCAUGUUCGCCGCGUGGAGCGACGCAUGA